UAAGGAGACUGCCGGUGACAAACCGGAGGAAGGUGGGGAUGACGUCAAGUCAUCAUGGCCCUUACGGCCAGGGCUACACACGUGCUACAAUGGUCGGUACAAAGGGUUGCCAAGCCGCGAGGUGGAGCUAAUCCCAUAAAACCGAUCGUAGUCCGGAUCGCAGUCUGCAACUCGACUGCGUGAAGUCGGAAUCGCUAGUAAUCG
rnacentral:rRNA from 1 species